rnacentral:rRNA from 1 species
UACGGGGGGAGCAAGCGUUGUUCGGAUUUACUGGGCGUAAAGGGCGCGUAGGCGGCGCAACAAGUCACUUGUGAAAUCUCCGGGCUUAACUCGGAGCGGCCAAGUGAUACUGUCGUGCUAGAGUGCGGAAGGGGCUACUGGAAUUCUCGGUGUAGCGGUGAAAUGCGUAGAUAUCCGGAGGAACCCCAGAGGCGAAGGCGACGCCCUGGCUCGUACCUGACGCUCAGCCACGAAAGCAUGGGGAGCGAACGGG